rnacentral:rRNA from 1 species
CAGACCUCUAAACGGAAAAGA